rnacentral:rRNA from 1 species
CAGCGAAACCGCGAGGUCAAGCAAAUCCCAUAAAGUUGUUCUCAGUUCGGAUUGUAGUCUGCAACUCGACUAUAUGAAGCUGGAAUCGCUAGUAAUCGUAGAUCAGCAUGCUACGGUGAAUACGUUCCCGGGUCUUGUACACACCGCCCGUCACACCACGAGAGUUUGUAACACCCGAAGCCGGUGGAGUAACCAUUUGGAGCUAGCCGUCGAAGGUGGGACAAAUGAUUGGGGUGAAGUCGUAACAAGGUAGCCGUAUCGGAAGGUGCGGCUGGAUCACCUCCUUUCUAAGGA